UGGCGGCGUGCCUAUACAUGCAAGUCGAGCGGACCGACGGGAGCUUGCUCCCUUAGGUUAGCGGCGGACGGGUGAGUAACACGUGGGUAACCUGCCUGUAAGACUGGGAUAACUCCGGGAAACCGGGGCUAAUACCGGAUGCUUGAUUGAACCGCAUGGUUCAAUUAUAAAAGGUGGCUUUUAGCUACCACUUACAGAUGGACCCGCGGCGCAUUAGCUAGUUGGUGAGGUAACGGCUCACCAAGGCAACGAUGCGUAGCCGACCUGAGAGGGUGAUCGGCCACACUGGGACUGAGACACGGCCCAGACUCCUACGGGAGGCAGCAGUAGGGAAUCUUCCGCAAUGGACGAAAGUCUGACGGAGCAACGCCGCGUGAGUGAUGAAGGUUUUCGGAUCGUAAAACUCUGUUGUUAGGGAAGAACAAGUACCGUUCGAAUAGGGCGGUACCUUGACGGUACCUAACCAGAAAGCCACGGCUAACUACGUGCCAGCAGCCGCGGUAAUACGUAGGUGGCAAGCGUUGUCCGGAAUUAUUGGGCGUAAAGCGCGCGCAGGCGGUUUCUUAAGUCUGAUGUGAAAGCCCCCGGCUCAACCGGGGAGGGUCAUUGGAAACUGGGGAACUUGAGUGCAGAAGAGGAGAGU
rnacentral:rRNA from 1 species